UUAUAAAAACGAAAACAAACACCAUGUGUGAAUUUUUGCUUUGUUUGGAAGCCAUUUCAGAGUAGCCAACAUUGAUUUGACGUCACGACUAUCACGGUCCAUUCACACAUGAGGUCUGUUCCUUUGUUUUUUAGUGUUACACUUUUGAGUGUAAGUGUACGAAAUUCUAUGGACAUUUGAGUGUAAAAUGACAGCGGAUGUGACAGCGGCUCAUGACAGCGGACAGUAUUAAACGAAAAUUAUCGGUGUGCCAAUCAAGCAAAGGGACAAGGAACUUCCGAAUAUGGCCUAACUGGGGGCACAUAACAUAACAUAACCUAAUCCUAAUAUUUACAUUUGUUAAAGAAUAUCCUGUUUGUUUUUAUUGUCGAUUGUGCAGCGAAAUUGUGUGCAGCAAAUCAAAUAUAAAGUAGUUUAUCGCCUACAGAACUGAAUUAGUCCAUAGCAGUUAUCAGUUUUUCUUUCUUGGGAAGCUUAUACAUGUAACUUGUAUUGUUGUAAAUUGUGGGAGUAGGGCAGACAGGGAAAAGUCUUAUUUUGUACUGUUCCCAAGGCUCCCCAUGCAAUACAUUUAAAUGAAUUAUCCAAACAAAGCUGGGGACAAUGGAUAAAAGCCACAAGAAGAACAGAUAUAAGGGAACUAAAAUUAAAAUAUGAAAAGUAAACAUUUUAUAAGUGGAACAACCACCAGAUAUUUAAAAGGUAUAAAAAGAAGAAACUGCUGGAAUUUCAAAACAAAUGUGUUUGACUAGUAAAGAUUUGGAUAAAUAACAGGAGUUACUUUGGGCUAUAGCUAAGUGCAGAUUUAUUUCCUUGUGGCUUCCUAUGUUAAUUCUUAUUAAUUAUACACUUAAAUAUGUUUUUAGUCUCAGGAAGAUUUUAUAUUUGAUUAUUUUUGAAUAAACAUUAUUAUUAUUAUUACCUUAAUUUCCAUUAAAUAAAUUAACUGUAAUCAAUAAAGUAAUCGUUUAAUUGUUAAUAAAUUAUCAAGUAUGA